AUUUAUAUAGUUUAAUAGCAAAACAUUACAUUUUCAUUGUAAAAAUAAAUAGAUAUUUUAUUUUAUAAAUA
rnacentral:tRNA from 1 species